rnacentral:rRNA from 1 species
UGGGGAAUAUUGGACAAUGGGCGAAAGCCUGAUCCAGCCAUGCCGCGUGAGUGAUGAAGGCCCUAGGGUUGUAAAGCUCUUUCACCGGUGAAGAUAAUGACGGUAACCGGAGAAGAAGCCCCGGCUAACUUCGUGCCAGCAGCCGCGGUAAUACGAAGGGGGCUAGCGUUGUUCGGAAUUACUGGGCGUAAAGCGCACGUAGGCGGAUACUUAAGUUAGGGGUGAAAUCCCGAGGCUCAACCUCGGAACUGCCUUUAAUACUGGGUAUCUCGAGUCCGAGAGAGGUGAGUGGAAUUCCGAGUGUAGAGGUGAAAUUCGUAGAUAUUCGGAGGAACACCAGUGGCGAAGGCGGCUCACUGGCUCGGUACUGACGCUGAGGUGCGAAAGCGUUGGGAGCAAACA